UUUAUAUCAAGGGGUUGUAGGACCGCGCAAGUACAUGCAAAAGUGUUAGCUGAAUGGUCUGGCAAGUCCAACCAAAGAAGGUGAAAGUCCUGUAGGCGAAAACAGCUUUUGAUGGAAGCGGUAUCCUGAGUAUCACCGGACACGUGAAAUCCGGUGUGAAACUGCCCGGCCCAUCGGGUAAGGCUAAAUACUCUCUGACGACCGAUAGUGAACCAGUACCGCGAGGGAAAGGUGAAAAGUACCCCUGACGGGGAGUGAAAAGUACCUGAAACCGUGCGUUUACAAGUAGUCAAAGUCCUAUGUCCGGGCACCUAACACUCUGCAUAUAAUUUUUAAAAUAUUUCUGUUUGAGAAAUAUCUUAAUAAUAAAAAUUAAUUGUGCUUUGUGCUAGGUGCUUGGAAACGGACGAUGGCGUGCCUGUUGAAGAAUGAUCCGGCGAGUUAUACCUGUCGUGCGAGCUUAACCCGAUAAUAGGGGGAGGCGUAGGGAAACCGAGUGUUAAUAGCGCGAAUAGUACGAUAGGAUAGACCCGAAGCCAAGUGAUCUAACCCUGGACAGGGUGAAACCAACUUAACCGUUGGUGGAGGCCCGAAGCGUUGACUGUUGAAAAAGUCCUGCAUGAGCUGGGGUUAGGGGCGAAAGGCCAAUCUAACUUGGUGAUAGCUGGUUUUCCUCGAAAUAGUUUUAGGGCUAGCCUUGUAAUUUAAAGAAGAGAGGUAGAGCACUGGAUAGAGUAGGGCCCUUACCGGGGUUCCAAAUUUAACCAAACUCCGAAUUCUUUUCCGUACAUUACAGGAGUCAGAAAGUGAGGGCUAAGCUUCAUUUUCAAAAGGGAAACAGCCCAGACCGUCAGUUAAGGUCCCUAAAUUCAUGCUAAGUGGUUAAGGAUGUGAGAGUACAAAGACAGCUAGGAGGUUGGCUUAGAAGCAGCCACCCUUUAAAGAGUGCGUAACAGCUCACUAGUCAAGUAUUCCUGCGCCGAAAAUACACGGGGCUCAAGCAUGAUACCGAAUCUGCGGAUUCAUUGGUUCUUAGGAACCUUUGAGUGGUAGAGGAACGUUCUGUUGUAGGUUGAAGGCAUACCGAAAGGAAUGCUGGACGAAGCAGAAGUGAGGAUGUCGGAAUAAGUAGCGAUAAAACAUGUGAGAUACAUGUUCGCCGUAAGCCUAAGGUUUCCUUGAGUAAAGUUAAUCUGCUCAGGGUCAGUCGGUCCUAAGUCGAGGCCGAAAGGCGUAGACGAAGGGCAUCAGGUUAAUAUUCCUGAACUACGAUAACAGCGCUACAGAGUAAAGGGGAGACGCAGGAGGGUAAACCAUCCUGGUUUUGGAUUACCAGGUCUAAGCACGUAGGGAAUCGAGAUUGGAAAAUCCGUUUCGGUACAUCCUGAAAUGCGAAUGGGACUGCGCCGCAAGGCGCGGGAACUGGUCCAACCACACUGACAAGAAAAUCCUCGUUAUGAGUUGUUAUUGUAUCCGUACCGCAAACCGACACAGGUAGGCGGGUAGAAAAUACUAAGGCGCUCGAGCUAACCCUCGUUUAGGAACUCGGCAAAAUAGCCCCGUAACUUCGGAAUAAGGGGUGCCUGUCGCAAGACGGGCCGCAGUGAAAUGGCUCUCGCGACUGUUUAACAAAAACACAGGACUCUGCUGAAAUCACAAGAUGAUGUAUAGGGUCUGACGCCUGCCCGGUGCUGGAAGGUCAAGGGGAGAGGUCAUCUGCCGCAAGGCGGAGAAGCUUUGAACUCAAGCCCCAGUAAACGGCGGCCGUAACUAUAACGGUCCUAAGGUAAUGAGAAUUUCAAAGCCCUUUAUGCUGGUAACGGCAUAUCGAAUCUAACUGUAUCGGUGAAGCCCUAAUCAAUUUUUCAUUGAUGGGUAAUACCGAGGGAAGUCGUAAUUGACCCCGUAGAGACUACACGUUAGCCCCUAAUAAAAAUAGGGUGGAGAUAUAGUCCAUGCCGAUAGUAAUAUUGGAUAAUCAUGAGCGAAAUUCCUUGUCGGGUAAGUUCCGACCUGCACGAAUGGCGUAACGAAGAGAGCACUGUCUCAACGAGGGACUCGGCGAAAUUAUGGUGCAAGUGAAGACGCUUGCUGCCCGCGGUAAGACGAAAAGACCCCGUGGAGCUUUACUGUAACUUAACCUUGAAUUACGGUCUUGGAUGCGUAGAAUAGGUGGGACCCUUUGAAGGUCCGAUUUUGGUCGGGCUGGAGGGGAAAUGUGAAAUACCACCCUUUCAACACUGCGGUUCUAACUCCGCUCCCUAUAUCGGGACGGAGAACAUGGUUAGGUGGGCAGUUUAACUGGGGCGGUUGCCUCCUAAAUUGUAACGGAGGCGUUCAUAAGGUUCCCUCAGGCCGUAUAGAAAUCGGCCAUCGAGCGCAAGGGCAGAAGGGAGCUUAACUGCAAGACAUACAAGUCGAGCAGAUGCGAAAGCAGGACCUAGUGAUCCGGCGGUUGCGUAUGGAAGUGCCGUCGCUCAACGGAUAAAAGCUACCCCGGGGAUAACAGGCUAAUCGUGCCCAAGAGUUCAUAUCGACGGCACGGUUUGGCACCUCGAUGUCGGCUCAUCGCAUCCUCCCGCUGAAGUAGGUGGGAAGGGUUUGGCUGUUCGCCAAUUAAAGCGGUACGUGAGCUGGGUUCAGUACGUCGUGAGACAGUACGGUCUCUAUCUACCGUGGGCGUAGGAAACUUGAGGGGUUCUGUCCUUAGUACGAGAGGACCGGGAUGGACGCACUGCUGGUGUUCCAGCUGUUCCGCCAGGAGCAAAAGCUGGGUAGCCACGUGCGGAUAGGAUAAACGCUGAAAGCAUCUAAGCGUGAAGCCUGCCCCAAGAUUAGGUUUCCCUUUUAGACCACCAGUAGACUACUGGUUUGAUAGGCUGGGUGUGUAAGCGCAGUAAUGUGUUGAGCUAUCCAGUACUAAUUGGUCGAUUGACUUAGCCAU
rnacentral:rRNA from 1 species